rnacentral:rRNA from 1 species
GACGAACGCUGGCGGCGUGCUUAACACUUGCAAGUCGAACGGAAAGGCCCUGCUUUUGUGGGGUGCUCGAGUGGCGAACGGGUGAGUAACACGUGAGUAACCUGCCCUUGACUUUGGGAUAACUUCAGGAAACUGGGGCUCAUACCGGAUAGGAGCUCCUGCUGCAUGGUGGGGGUUGGAAAGUUUCGGCGGUUGUGGAUGGACUGGCGGCUUAUCCGCUUGUUUGUGGGGUAGUGGCUUACCAAGGCUUUGACGGGUAGCCGGCCUGGGAGGGUGACCGGCGACAUUGGGACUGCGAUACGGCGCAGACUCCAACGGGAGGCAGCGGGGGGGAAUAUUGCACAGUGGGCGGAAGCCUGAUGCAGCAGCGCCGCGUGCGGGAUGACGGCCUUCGGGUUAUAAACCGCUUUCGCCUGUGACGAAGCGUGAGUGACGGUAAUGGGUAAAGAAGCACCGGCUAACUACGUG